UAACCUGCCUCAUACAGGGGGAUAACAGUUAGAAAUGACUGCUAAUACCGCAUAAGCGCACAGCAUCGCAUGAUGCCGUGUGAAAAACUCCGGUGGUAUGAGAUGGACCUGCGUCUGAUUAGCUAGUUGGUGAGGUAACGGCCCACCAAGGCGACGAUCAGUAGCCGACCUGAGAGGGUGACCGGCCACAUUGGGACUGAGACACGGCCCAA
rnacentral:rRNA from 1 species